rnacentral:tRNA from 3 species
GAAAAAUAUGAACUGAUUAUGCCGCAGGAUUCAUAAUCCUGAGGUCGAGAGUUCAAGUCUCUCCAUCACCA